AUUGAACGCUGGCGGCAUGCCUUACACAUGCAAGUCGAACGGCAGCACGGGAGCAAUCCUGGUGGCGAGUGGCGAACGGGUGAGUAAUAUAUCGGAACGUGCCCAGUCGUGGGGAUAACGUAGCGAAAGCUACGCUAAUACCGCAUACGAUCUAUGGAUGAAAGCGGGGGAUCGCAAGACCUCGCGCGAUUGGAGCGGCCGAUAUCAGAUUAGGUAGUUGGUGAGGUAAAGGCUCACCAAGCCGACGAUCUGUAGCUGGUCUGAGAGGACGACCAGCCACACUGGGACUGAGACACGGCCCAGACUCCUACGGGAGGCAGCAGUGGGGAAUUUUCCGCAAUGGGCGAAAGCCUGACGGAGCAAUACCGCGUGAGGGAGGAAGGCUCUUGGGUUGUAAACCUCUUUCUCAGGGAAGGAAAAAAAUAGACGGUACCUGAGGAAUAAAGCAUCGGCUAACUCCGUGCCAGCAGCCGCCGGUAAAGUGACUACUG
rnacentral:rRNA from 1 species